UACGUAGGGUGCGAGCGUUAAUCGGAAUUACUGGGCGUAAAGCGCACGUAGGCGGACCAGUUAGUUGGGGGUGAAAUCCCGGGGCUCAACCCCGGAACUGCCUCCAAAACUGCUGGUCUGGAGGUCGAGAGAGGUGAGUGGAAUUCCGAGUGUAGAGGUGAAAUUCGUAGAUAUUCGGAGGAACACCAGUGGCGAAGGCGGCUCACUGGCUCGAUACUGACGCUGAGGUGCGAAAGCGUGGGGAGCAAACAGG
rnacentral:rRNA from 1 species